rnacentral:sRNA from 1 species
AAUAGUCGAACGAAGGAUAAAAGCAUCCCGCCCUGUGAUAAUGCCUUCGUGACCAACAUCGUGUUGU